ACAGAGGGUGCGAGCGUUAAUCGGAAUUACUGGGCGUAAAGCGCACGUAGUCGGCUUUGCAAGUCGGGUGUGAAAUCCCCGGGCUCAACCUGGGAACUGCAUCCGAGACUGCAUUGCUAGAGUAUGGGAGAGGGAAGCGGAAUUUCUGGUGUAGCAGUGAAAUGCGUAGAUAUCAGGAGGAACACCGGUGGCGAAGGCGCACAUCUGGCCCGAUACUGACGCUGAGGCGCGAAAGCUAGGGGAGCAAACGGGA
rnacentral:rRNA from 1 species